UCAGCCGCCGCGGUAAUACCAGCUCUCCGAGUGGUGUGGAUGUUUAUUGGGCCUAAAGCAUCCGUAGCUGGCUGAGUUAGUCCCUUGUUAAAUCCACCGAAUUAAUCGUUGGAUUGCGGGGGAUACUGCUCGGCUAGGGGACGAGAGAGGCAGACGGUAUUUCUGGGGUAGGGGUGAAAUCCUAUAAUCCCAGGAGGACCACCAGUGGCGAAGGCUGUCUGCUAGAACGCGCCAGACGGUGAGGGAUGAAAGCUGGGGGAGCGAACCGGAUUAGAUACCCGGGUAGUCCCAGCUGUAAACGAUGCAGACUAGGUGUUUGGACGGCCACGUGCCGUUCUAGUGCCGCAGGGAAGCUGUUAAGUCUGCC
rnacentral:rRNA from 1 species